AUCUGCGAUAAGCGCCGGUAAGGUGAUAUGAACCGUUAUAACCGGCGAUACCCGAAUGGGGAAACCCAGUGUGAUUCGUCACACUAUCAUUAACUGAAUCCAUAGGUUAAUGAGGCGAACCGGGGGAACUGAAACAUCUAAGUACCCCGAGGAAAAGAAAUCAACCGAGAUUCCCCCAGUAGCGGCGAGCGAACGGGGAGGAGCCCAGAGCCUGAAUCAGCAUGUGUGUUAGUGGAAGCGUCUGGAAAGGCGCGCGAUACAGGGUGACAGCCCCGUACACAAAAGCGCAUGUGCUGUGAGCUCGAUGAGUAGGGCGGGACACGUGGUAUCCUGUCUGAAUAUGGGGGGACCAUCCUCCAAGGCUAAAUACUCCUGACUGACCGAUAGUGAACCAGUACCGUGAGGGAAAGGCGAAAAGAACCCCGGCGAGGGGAGUGAAAAAGAACCUGAAACCGUGUACGUACAAGCAGUGGGAGCACCCUUUGGGUGUGACUGCGUACCUUUUGUAUAAUGGGUCAGCGACUUAUAUUCUGUAGCAAGGUUAACCGAAUAGGGGAGCCGGAGGGAAACCGAGUCUUAAUUGGGCGUUAAGUUGCAGGGUAUAGACCCGAAACCCGGUGAUCUAGCCAUGGGCAGGUUGAAGGUUGGGUAACACUAACUGGAGGACCGAACCGACUAAUGUUGAAAAAUUAGCGGAUGACCUGUGGCUGGGGGUGAAAGGCCAAUCAAACCGGGAGAUAGCUGGUUCUCCCCGAAAGCUAUUUAGGUAGCGCCUCGUGAAUUCAUCUCCGGGGGUAGAGCACUGUUUCGGCUAGGGGGCCAUCCCGGCUUACCAACCCGAUGCAAACUGCGAAUACCGGAGAAUGUUAUCACGGGAGACACACGGCGGGUGCUAACGUCCGUCGUGAAGAGGGAAACAACCCAGACCGCCAGCUAAGGUCCCAAAGUCAUGGUUAAGUGGGAAACGAUGUGGGAAGGCCCAGACAGCCAGGAUGUUGGCUUAGAAGCAGCCAUCAUUUAAAGAAAGCGUAAUAGCUCACUGGUCGAGUCGGCCUGCGCGGAAGAUGUAACGGGGCUAAACCAUGCACCGAAGCUGCGGCAGCGACACUGUGUGUUGUUGGGUAGGGGAGCGUUCUGUAAGCCUGUGAAGGUGUGUCGUGAGGCAUGCUGGAGGUAUCAGAAGUGCGAAUGCUGACAUAAGUAACGAUAAAGCGGGUGAAAAGCCCGCUCGCCGGAAGACCAAGGGUUCCUGUCCAACGUUAAUCGGGGCAGGGUGAGUCGACCCCUAAGGCGAGGCCGAAAGGCGUAGUCGAUGGGAAACGGGUUAAUAUUCCCGUACUUGGUGUUACUGCGAAGGGGGGACGGAGAAGGCUAUGUUGGCCGGGCGACGGUUGUCCCGGUUUAAGCGUGUAGGUGUGUGUUCCAGGUAAAUCCGGUUCACUUUAACACUGAGGCGUGACGACGAGGCACUACGGUGCUGAAGCAACAAAUGCCCUGCUUCCAGGAAAAGCCUCUAAGCAUCAGGUAACAUCAAAUCGUACCCCAAACCGACACAGGUGGUCAGGUAGAGAAUACCAAGGCGCUUGAGAGAACUCGGGUGAAGGAACUAGGCAAAAUGGUGCCGUAACUUCGGGAGAAGGCACGCUGACACGUAGGUGAAGUGAUUUACUCAUGGAGCUGAAGUCAGUCGAAGAUACCAGCUGGCUGCAACUGUUUAUUAAAAACACAGCACUGUGCAAACACGAAAGUGGACGUAUACGGUGUGACGCCUGCCCGGUGCCGGAAGGUUAAUUGAUGGGGUCAGCGCAAGCGAAGCUCCUGAUCGAAGCCCCGGUAAACGGCGGCCGUAACUAUAACGGUCCUAAGGUAGCGAAAUUCCUUGUCGGGUAAGUUCCGACCUGCACGAAUGGCGUAAUGAUGGCCAGGCUGUCUCCACCCGAGACUCAGUGAAAUUGAACUCGCUGUGAAGAUGCAGUGUACCCGCGGCAAGACGGAAAGACCCCGUGAACCUUUACUAUAGCUUGACACUGAACAUUGAGCCUUGAUGUGUAGGAUAGGUGGGAGGCUUUGAAGUGUGGACGCCAGUCUGCAUGGAGCCGACCUUGAAAUACCACCCUUUAAUGUUUGAUGUUCUAACGUGGACCCGUUACCCGGGUUGCGGACAGUGUCUGGUGGGUAGUUUGACUGGGGCGGUCUCCUCCUAAAGAGUAACGGAGGAGCACGAAGGUUGGCUAAUCCUGGUCGGACAUCAGGAGGUUAGUGCAAUGGCAUAAGCCAGCUUGACUGCGAGCGUGACGGCGCGAGCAGGUGCGAAAGCAGGUCAUAGUGAUCCGGUGGUUCUGAAUGGAAGGGCCAUCGCUCAACGGAUAAAAGGUACUCCGGGGAUAACAGGCUGAUACCGCCCAAGAGUUCAUAUCGACGGCGGUGUUUGGCACCUCGAUGUCGGCUCAUCACAUCCUGGGGCUGAAGUAGGUCCCAAGGGUAUGGCUGUUCGCCAUUUAAAGUGGUACGCGAGCUGGGUUUAGAACGUCGUGAGACAGUUCGGUCCCUAUCUGCCGUGGGCGCUGGAGAACUGAGGGGGGCUGCUCCUAGUACGAGAGGACCGGAGUGGACGCAUCACUGGUGUUCGGGUUGUCAUGCCAAUGGCACUGCCCGGUAGCUAAAUGCGGAAGAGAUAAGUGCUGAAAGCAUCUAAGCACGAAACUUGCCCCGA
rnacentral:rRNA from 1 species